GAUGAACGCUGGCGGCGUGCCUAAUACAUGCAAGUCGAACGCAUUGUGGUUGAAAUGAUAUGAAGAACUUGUUCAGAUUUGAUUUUCAACAUUGCAAUGAGUGGCGAACGGGUGAGUAACACGUGGGAAACCUACCUCUUAGCAGGGGAUAACAUUUGGAAACAAAUGCUAAUACCGUAUAAUAAUUGAAACCGCAUGGUUUUAGUUUAAAAGAUGGUCUUGCUAUCACUAAGAGAUGGUCCCGCGGUGUAUUAGUUAGUUGGUGAGGUAAUGGCUCACCAAGACAAUGAUACAUAGCCGAGUUGAGAGACUGACCGGCCACAAUGGGACUGAGACACGGCCCAUACUCCUACGGGAGGCAGCAGUAGGGAAUCUUCCACAAUGGACGAAAGUACUGAUGGAGCAACGCCGCGUGUGUGAUGAAGGGUUUCGGCUCGUAAAACACUGUUGUAAGAGAAGAAUGACAUUGAGAGUAACUGUUCAAUGUGUGACGGUAU
rnacentral:rRNA from 1 species